CGGUAACAGGUCUUCGGAUGCUGACGAGUGGCGAACGGGUGAGUAAUACAUCGGAACGUGCCCGAUCGUGGGGGAUAACGCAGCGAAAGCUGUGCUAAUACCGCAUACGAUCUACGGAUGAAAGCGGGGGAUCGCAAGACCUCGCGCGGACGGAGCGGCCGAUGGCAGAUUAGGUAGUUGGUGGGAUAAAAGCUUACCAAGCCGACGAUCUGUAGCUGGUCUGAGAGGACGACCAGCCACACUGGGACUGAGACACGGCCCAGACUCCUACGGGAGGCAGCAGUGGGGAAUUUUGGACAAUGGGCGAAAGCCUGAUCCAGCCAUGCCGCGUGCAGGAUGAAGGCCUUCGGGUUGUAAACUGCUUUUGUACGGAACGAAAAAGUCUUCUCUAAUACAGGGGGCGAAUGACGGUACCGUAAGAAUAAGCACCGGCUAACUACGUGCCAGCAGCCGCGGUAAUACGUAGGGUGCGAGCGUUAAUCGGAAUUACUGGGCGUAAAGCGUGCGCAGGCGGUUAUAUAAGACAGAUGUGAAAUCCCCGGGCUCAACCUGGGAACUGCAUUAGUGACU
rnacentral:rRNA from 1 species